GAUGAACGCUGGCGGCGUGCCUAAUACAUGCAAGUCGAGCGAACAGACGAGGAGCUUGCUCCUCUGACGUUAGCGGCGGACGGGUGAGUAACACGUGGAUAACCUACCUAUAAGACUGGGAUAACUUCGGGAAACCGGAGCUAAUACCGGAUAAUAUAUUGAACCGCAUGGUUCAAUAGUGAAAGACGGUUUUGCUGUCACUUAUAGAUGGAUCCGCGCCGCAUUAGCUAGUUGGUAAGGUAACGGCUUACCAAGGCAACGAUGCGUAGCCGACCUGAGAGGGUGAUCGGGCCCCCUAGCCCUGCGCCACGGCCCCGACUCCGACGGGAGGCACCCGGAGCGGCUCUUCCGACUGGGGCGAACUCUUGUCGUGGGCACACCGGUUCUGCGACGGAGGUGUACGACUGGGAAGACAGUUUUGGUUGGAGAGAGCUAGUGUGUAAGUAACUGUGCACGCUAUCACGGUCCCCACUGAGUGAUGCACCGCUAGCCACAUC
rnacentral:rRNA from 1 species